ensembl:rRNA 5S_rRNA 5S ribosomal RNA
GUCUACAGCCAUACCACCCGGAAUGCUGAUCUCAGAAGCUAAGCCGAGUCAGGCCUGGUUAGUAUUUGGAUGGAAGAUAAGCUGGCAUUGAGCUG